GAGUUGGAGUGGGAGGUGUAGGUGUAGAUGUGGUUGUUGGAGGCUUUGUAGUUGUCGUUGGAGUGGGAGGUGUAGUUGUAGUUGGCUCUGGAGUUGUUGUAGAGGGAGGUAUAAUUGUAGUUGUUGUGAUUGUAGUUGGCUCUUGAGUUGGAGUGGGAGGUGUAGUUGUGGUUGUAGGAGGCUUUGUAGUUGUCGGAGUGGGAGGUGUAGUUGUAGUUGGCUCUGGAGUUGUUGUAGAGGGUGGUAUAAUUGUAGUUGUGGUUGUAGUUGGCUCUUGAGUUGGAGGUGUAGGUGUAGUUGUAGUUGUAGGAGGCUUUGUAGUUGUCGGAGAGGUAGGUGUAGUUGUUGUGGUUGUAGUUGGCUCUUGAGUUGGAGUGGGAGGUGUAGUUGUGGUUGUAGGAGGCUUUGUAGUUGUCGGAGUGGGAGGUGUAGGUGUAGUUGUGGUUGUAGGAGACUUUGUAGUUGAUGGAGUGUGAGAGGUAGGUGUAGUUGUUAUGGUUGUAGUUGUCUCUGGAGUUGUAGUGGGAGGUGUAGUUGUAGUUGUUGUAGUUGGCUCUGGAGUUGGAGUGGUAGGUGUAGGUGUAGUUGUGGUUGUAGGUGGCUUUGUAGUUGUCGGAGGGGUAGGUGUAGUUGUUUUUGUUGUAGUUGACAGUGGAGUUGUAGUGGGAGGUGUAGUUGUAGUUGUUGUAGUUGGCUCUUGAGUUGGAGUGGGAGGUGUAGUUGUUGUUGUAGGAGGCUUUGUAGUUGUCGGAGGUGUAGGUGUAGUCGUUUUGGUUGUUGACUCUUGAGUUGGAGUGGGAGG